UACGGGAUUAGGUCCUCCUCCAGUAUUCAUUAAGAUUUGGUAUUCAUCAUCUAUACUUUCUAAGUUUAAAUGAUCAAAAUUAUCUAUAAGUAGAUCUAAUUCUUCAUUCAUUUUCUUUGUCUUGAUUUUCUUCAAUUUUUUGUUUACCUAACAUUUUUUCUCUAGAUUCCUCUUCUUCUAUUAUUUUAGGUAAUAUAUUUUU
rnacentral:lncRNA from 1 species